AUUGAACGCUGGCGGCAGGCCUAACACAUGCAAGUCGAGCGGGGUUUUCGGACCUAGCGGCGGACGGGUGAGUAAUGCGUAGGAAGCUACCCGAUAGAGGGGGAUACCAGUUGGAAACGACUGUUAAUACCGCAUAAUGUCUACGGACCAAAGCGUGGGACCUUCGGGCCACAUGCUAUCGGAUGCGCCUACGUGGGAUUAGCUAGUUGGUGAGGUAAUGGCUCACCAAGGCGACGAUCCCUAGCUGGUUUGAGAGGAUGAUCAGCCACACUGGAACUGAGACACGGUCCAGACUCCUACGGGAGGCAGCAGUGGGGAAUAUUGGACAAUGGGCGCAAGCCUGAUCCAGCCAUGCCGCGUGUGUGAAGAAGGCCUUCGGGUUGUAAAGCACUUUCAGUAGGGAGGAAGGGUUAAUUGUUAAUAGUACUUAACUUUGACGUUACCUACAGAAGAAGCACCGGCUAACUCUGUGCCAGCCGCCGCCGUAACAC
rnacentral:rRNA from 1 species